CGGGGGCUGCUGUGCAGAUCAGCUGUGAGCACAAGGCCUCGGCCCAGCUGAACCGGCUCAGCUGGGAGGCCUCCUUCGGGCUGCUGGAGACCUUGGAGUGCCUCUGGCCAGGUGGCGGCAGGCAAGCGAGACCGGCGUACACCGAGCUGCUGGCCUUUGCCACCCCGAGUGCCUUCCCCUACGGCCAGUCGCCUCAGCCUUGCGCCCGUAUCCGUUGCAAGCACUCGGAGAAGCGGCCGUCCAGAAAGAAUAUUUAAAAGACAAGUAACCAUGGUGCUCAAACAAAUAACAACAUGAGACCAGUCCAUUUGAGAGGCCUAAAUCCAGUUGUUUCCCCAGCUAAAGUAAACUCUCAGAAUUAUAGAAGCAGAGCGGAAAGAGUUCCCCCAAAGGUCAGCCUGUGCCAAAGCAGAAAGUCCGCGGCGAAAGCAUCCCGUACAGGCAGCCAUGCAACCGUUGUUUAAAAGGUCCCAAUGGAGGAGACUCGCACCUCUUGCCGUUUGAGGUAAUCCGUCCUGCCGUCCAACGGCUCUCACCGUCAAGUUCGCCCUAAUGUUGAGGUGAAAUCUCCUUUUCAUCAUCGGAAUCCAUUACUUCGGGUUCUGCCACUUGGAGUUACGGAAAAUGAGUUUGCUGCCAGGGUGGAUAAAAAUCAAUUAUUAUUUUUAAAAUCAUAUAAUGAAUCGUAGAGUAAUGGAGCUGGAAAGGGGCUA